rnacentral:rRNA from 1 species
AUACGUAGGGGGCGAGCGUUGUCCGGAAUGAUUGGGCGUAAAGGGCGCGUAGGCGGCCCGGUAAGUCUGGAGUGAAAGUCCUGUUUUUAAGAUGGGAAUUGCUUUGGAUACUGUCGGGCUUGAGUGCAGGAGAGGUAAGUGGAAUUCUUAGUGUAGCGGUGGAAUGCGUAGAGAUUGGGAGGAACACCAGUGGCGAAGGCGACUUACUGGACUGUAACUGACGCUGAGGCGCGAAAGUGUGGGGAGCAAACAGGAUUAGAUACCCUGGUAGUCCACACUGUAAACGAUGAAUGCUAGGUGUAGGGGGUAUCGACCCCUUCUGUGCCGCAGUCAACACAAUAAGCAUUCCGCCUGGGGAGUACGGCCGCAAGGUUGAAACUCAAAGGAAUUGACGGGG